GGAACAACGGACAAGGAACUGUCCUUGAUCGGAGGGAUCGGUUGAGGAUUCUGGAAUUGAAACUUUUGAUACCUGAAAGUUCAGACCAAAAUGAUUCACUUCGUGCUUCUUAUAAGUAGACAAGGAAAAGUGAGGUUGACCAAAUGGUAUUCUCCUUAUUCUCAGAAGGAGAGAUCUAAGGAUCUAUUGGACUUACCAUAUUAUGGCACGUGCUCGGGUCUGCUCUCGUUCUUUAAAAAGGUUAUCCGUGAGCUUAGUGGAAUGAUUCUAAAUCGGGCGCCUAAACUUUGCAACUUUGUGGAAUGGAGGGGACUCAAAGCUGUCUAUAAACGAUAUGCUAGUCUUUACUUUUGCCUAUGCAUUGAUCAGGAGGACAAUGAAUUAGAGAUCCUUGAAAUUAUUCAUCAUUAUGUUGAGAUUUUGGAUCGUUACUUCGGCAGUGUCUGUGAGUUGGAUUUGAUCUUCAACUUUCACAAGGUAUUAUUCACUUGCUUAUAUUAAAGAUGCACAUUUUCUUUAAUUUUCAUCUCGUUGCCUCUACUAGACAUUUGUGUAAGUAAGCCCGAUGCAUCUGAAUUACGUGUCCUCUUGCUUUCUCGCCAGUAACAUUGUCAACGUUCACGUUCACGUCCUUGAGAUGAAACCUUGAAUGCAUUGUGUACUUUUCUUUCACCUGUCGUGUAAGCCCGAUGCAUCUGAAUUACUUGUCCUCUUGCUUGCGCGCGAGUAACAUUGUCUUAAGUGAACGAUCAUGUUCACGUCCUUGAUAUGAAACUUUGAAUGCUUUGUGUACUUUUUUUCCUUUUCUAACAUUGAAGGCGUAUUAUAUAUUGGAUGAGCUUCUAAUUGCUGGAGAACUCCAAGAAUCUAGCAAGAAAACAGUAGCAAGAUUGAUAGCUGCACAGGAUUCGUUGGUGGAGACUGCAAAGGAGC